rfam:Myotis davidii contig217123, whole genome shotgun sequence.
AGGCCUGCAGAGAGAGAGAGGCAGGGUCUAAUCCCCAGCCUCCGUGGCAGCUGUUGGUCAGCUGCUGCCUCUCUCUUCCUCUCCC